UAUUUCUUAUUGAUAGGUGACCGAUGCUGAAGACAUCGUCUUUUCAUGUCGAAGACACGGGUUCGAUUCCCGUAAGGGAUAG
rnacentral:tRNA from 1 species